AAAAUAGUAUUUUAUAAGAAUAUGUAAUUUGCAUUUACAAGGAGCACUAGCCUAUUUUA
rnacentral:tRNA from 1 species